rnacentral:tRNA from 1 species
GUGGAUGUAGCUCAGUUGGUAGAGCAUCAGAUUGUGGCUCUGGGGGCCGUGGGUUCGAAUCCCACCAUUCACCCCA